AUACCGGAUACGUUUAUCUUGAUGCGAAUGAUGAUAAAGAAAGGUGGCCUCUUCAUGAAAGCUACUGUACAGGGACGAGCUUGCGUACCAUUAGCUAGUUGGUAGGGUAAUGGCCUACCAAGGCGACGAUGGUUAGCGGGUCUGAGAGGAUGAUCCGCCACACUGGAACUGGAACACGGACCAGACUCCUACGGGAGGCAGCAGUGAGGAAUAUUGCGCAAUGGGGGCAACCCUGACGCAGCGACGCCGCGUGGAUGAUGAAGGCCCUUGGGUCGUAAAAUCCUGUCAGAUGGAAAGAAAUGUAUAGCAGUUAAUAUCUGUUAUAUUUGACGGUACCAUCAAAGGAAGCACCGGCUAACUCCGUGCCAGCAGCCGCGGUAAUACGGAGGGUGCAAGCGUUGUUCGGAAUUACUGGGCG
rnacentral:rRNA from 1 species